rnacentral:rRNA from 1 species
UACGUAGGUGGCAAGCGUUGUCCGGAUUUACUGGGCGUAAAGAGCGCGCAGGCGGCCAAGUCAGUCGAAUGUGAAAGCCCCCGGCUCAACUGGGGAGGGUCAUUCGAUACUGCUCGGCUCGAAGACAGGAGAGGGAAGUGGAAUUCCCGGUGUAGUGGUGAAAUGCGUAGAUAUCAGGAAGAACACCCGUGGCUAAGGCGGCUCUCUAGUACGGUACUGACGCUGAGACGCGAAAGCGUGGGGAGCGAACAGG